rnacentral:tRNA from 4 species
GCGAAUGUAGCGUAAUGGUAGCGUUCACGACUGUGGCUCGUGAGGAGUGGGUUCAAUUCCCACCUUUCGCC